rnacentral:rRNA from 1 species
CCAGACUCCUACGGGAGGCAGCAGUGAGGAAUAUUGGUCAAUGGGCGCGAGCCUGAACCAGCCAAGUCGCGUGAGGGAAGACGGUCCUAUGGAUUGUAAACCUCUUUUGUCGGGGAGCAAAAGGCGCCACGCGUGGCGUUCCGAGAGUACCCGAAGAAAAAGCAUCGGCUAACUCCGUGCCAGCAGCCGCGGUAAUACGGAGGAUGCGAGCGUUAUCCGGAUUUAUUGGGUUUAAAGGGUGCGCAGGCGGAAUGUCAAGUCAGCGGUAAAAUUUCGGGGCUCAACCCCGUCGUGCCGUUGAAACUGGCGUUCUUGAGUGAGCGAGGAGUAUGCGGAAUGCGUGGUGUAGCGGUGAAAUGCAUAGAUAUCACGCAGAGCUCCGAUUGCGAAGGCAGCAUACCGGCGCUCAACUGACGCUCAUGCACGAAAGCGUGGGUAUCGAACAGGAUUAGAUACCGCGUAU